GGUUAAGCGACUAAGCGUACACGGUGGAUGCCCUGGCAGUCAGAGGCGAUGAAGGACGUGCUAAUCUGCGAUAAGCGUCGGUAAGGUGAUAUGAACCGUUAUAACCGGCGAUUUCCGAAUGGGGAAACCCAGUGUGAUUCGUCACACUAUCAUUAACUGAAUCCAUAGGUUAAUGAGGCGAACCGGGGGAACUGAAACAUCUAAGUACCCCGAGGAAAAGAAAUCAACCGAGAUUCCCCCAGUAGCGGCGAGCGAACGGGGAGCAGCCCAGAGCCUGAAUCAGUGUGUGUGUUAGUGGAAGCGUCUGGAAAGGCGUGCGAUACAGGGUGACAGCCCCGUACACAAAAAUGCACAUGCUGUGAGCUCGAUGAGUAGGGCGGGACACGUGGUAUCCUGUCUGAAUAUGGGGGGACCAUCCUCCAAGGCUAAAUACUCCUGACUGACCGAUAGUGAACCAGUACCGUGAGGGAAAGGCGAAAAGAACCCCGGCGAGGGGAGUGAAAAAGAACCUGAAACCGUGUACGUACAAGCAGUGGGAGCACGCUUAGGCGUGUGACUGCGUACCUUUUGUAUAAUGGGUCAGCGACUUAUAUUCUGUAGCAAGGUUAACCGAAUAGGGGAGCCGAAGGGAAACCGAGUCUUAACUGGGCGUUAAGUUGCAGGGUAUAGACCCGAAACCCGGUGAUCUAGCCAUGGGCAGGUUGAAGGUUGGGUAACACUAACUGGAGGACCGAACCGACUAAUGUUGAAAAAUUAGCGGAUGACUUGUGGCUGGGGGUGAAAGGCCAAUCAAACCGGGAGAUAGCUGGUUCUCCCCGAAAGCUAUUUAGGUAGCGCCUCGUGAAUUCAUCUCCGGGGGUAGAGCACUGUUUCGGCAAGGGGGUCAUCCCGACUUACCAACCCGAUGCAAACUGCGAAUACCGGAGAAUGUUAUCACGGGAGACACACGGCGGGUGCUAACGUCCGUCGUGAAGAGGGAAACAACCCAGACCGCCAGCUAAGGUCCCAAAGUCAUGGUUAAGUGGGAAACGAUGUGGGAAGGCCCAGACAGCCAGGAUGUUGGCUUAGAAGCAGCCAUCAUUUAAAGAAAGCGUAAUAGCUCACUGGUCGAGUCGGCCUGCGCGGAAGAUGUAACGGGGCUAAACCAUGCACCGAAGCUGCGGCAGCGACGCUGAUGCGUUGUUGGGUAGGGGAGCGUUCUGUAAGCCUGUGAAGGUGUACUGUGAGGUAUGCUGGAGGUAUCAGAAGUGCGAAUGCUGACAUAAGUAACGAUAAAGCGGGUGAAAAGCCCGCUCGCCGGAAGACCAAGGGUUCCUGUCCAACGUUAAUCGGGGCAGGGUGAGUCGACCCCUAAGGCGAGGCCGAAAGGCGUAGUCGAUGGGAAACAGGUUAAUAUUCCUGUACUUGGUGUUACUGCGAAGGGGGGACGGAGAAGGCUAUGUUGGCCGGGCGACGGUUGUCCCGGUUUAAGCGUGUAGGCUGGUUUUCCAGGCAAAUCCGGAAAAUCAAGGCUGAGGCGUGAUGACGAGGCACUACGGUGCUGAAGCAACAAAUGCCCUGCUUCCAGGAAAAGCCUCUAAGCAUCAGGUAACAUCAAAUCGUACCCCAAACCGACACAGGUGGUCAGGUAGAGAAUACCAAGGCGCUUGAGAGAACUCGGGUGAAGGAACUAGGCAAAAUGGUGCCGUAACUUCGGGAGAAGGCACGCUGAUAUGUAGGUGAAGUCCCUCGCGGAUGGAGCUGAAAUCAGUCGAAGAUACCAGCUGGCUGCAACUGUUUAUUAAAAACACAGCACUGUGCAAACACGAAAGUGGACGUAUACGGUGUGACGCCUGCCCGGUGCCGGAAGGUUAAUUGAUGGGGUCAGCGCAAGCGAAGCUCUUGAUCGAAGCCCCGGUAAACGGCGGCCGUAACUAUAACGGUCCUAAGGUAGCGAAAUUCCUUGUCGGGUAAGUUCCGACCUGCACGAAUGGCGUAAUGAUGGCCAGGCUGUCUCCACCCGAGACUCAGUGAAAUUGAACUCGCUGUGAAGAUGCAGUGUACCCGCGGCAAGACGGAAAGACCCCGUGAACCUUUACUAUAGCUUGACACUGAACAUUGAGCCUUGAUGUGUAGGAUAGGUGGGAGGCUUUGAAGUGUGGACGCCAGUCUGCAUGGAGCCGACCUUGAAAUACCACCCUUUAAUGUUUGAUGUUCUAACGUUGACCCGUAAUCCGGGUUGCGGACAGUGUCUGGUGGGUAGUUUGACUGGGGCGGUCUCCUCCUAAAGAGUAACGGAGGAGCACGAAGGUUGGCUAAUCCUGGUCGGACAUCAGGAGGUUAGUGCAAUGGCAUAAGCCAGCUUGACUGCGAGCGUGACGGCGCGAGCAGGUGCGAAAGCAGGUCAUAGUGAUCCGGUGGUUCUGAAUGGAAGGGCCAUCGCUCAACGGAUAAAAGGUACUCCGGGGAUAACAGGCUGAUACCGCCCAAGAGUUCAUAUCGACGGCGGUGUUUGGCACCUCGAUGUCGGCUCAUCACAUCCUGGGGCUGAAGUAGGUCCCAAGGGUAUGGCUGUUCGCCAUUUAAAGUGGUACGCGAGCUGGGUUUAGAACGUCGUGAGACAGUUCGGUCCCUAUCUGCCGUGGGCGCUGGAGAACUGAGGGGGGCUGCUCCUAGUACGAGAGGACCGGAGUGGACGCAUCACUGGUGUUCGGGUUGUCAUGCCAAUGGCACUGCCCGGUAGCUAAAUGCGGAAGAGAUAAGUGCUGAAAGCAUCUAAGCACGAAACUUGCCCCGAGAUGAGUUCUCCCUGACUCCUUGAGAGUCCUGAAGGAACGUUGAAGACGACGACGUUGAUAGGCCGGAUGUGUAAGCGCAGCGAUGCGUUGAGCUAACCGGUACUAAUGAACCGUGAGGCUUAACCUU
rnacentral:rRNA from 1 species